GACGAACGCUGGCGGCGUGCUUAACACAUGCAAGUGGAGCGACGAACCGGGGCUUGCCCCGGGGCAGAGCCGCGAACGGGUGAGUAACACGUGGGUAACCUGCCUCAAUGAUUGGGACAACCCGGGGAGACUCGGGCUAAUACCAAAUGUGUUCACUCCUUUUAAGGGGAGUGAGGAAAGGAAGCUUCGGCCUCCGCAUUGAGAUGGGCCCGCGGCCCAUUAGCUUGUUGGUGAGGUAACGGCUCACCAAGGCUUCGAUGGGUAGCUGGUCUGAGAGGACGAUCAGCCACACUGGGACUGAGCCACGGCCCAGACUCCUACGGAGGCAGCAGUGGGAAUCUUGCACAAUGCGCGAAAGCGUGAUGCAGGCAACGCCGCGUGGGGGAA
rnacentral:rRNA from 1 species